rnacentral:rRNA from 11 species
UGGACGUUACUCGCAGAAUAAGCACCGGCUAACUCUGUGCCAGCAGCCGCGGUAAGACAGAGGAUGCAAGCGUUAUCCGGAAUGAUUGGGCGUAAAGCGUCUGUAGGUGGCUUUUCAAGUCCGCCGUCAAAUCCCAGGGCUCAACCCUGGACAGGCGGUGGAAACUACCAAGCUGGAGUACGGUAGGGGCAGAGGGAAUUUCCGGUGGAGCGGUGAAAUGCGUAGAGAUCGGGAAGAACACCAACGGCGAAAGCACUCUGCUGGGCCGACACUGACACUGAGAGACGAAAGCUAGGGGAGCAAAUGGGAUUAGAUAC